AGUGAACGCUGGCGGUAGGCCUAACACAUGCAAGUCGAACGGCAGCACAGUAAGAGCUUGCUCUUACGGGUGGCGAGUGGCGGACGGGUGAGGAAUACAUCGGAAUCUACUUUUUCGUGGGGGAUAACGUAGGGAAACUUACUCUAAUACCGCAUACGACCUACGGGUGAAAGCAGGGGAUCUUCGGACCUUGCGCGAUUGAAUGAGCCGAUGUCGGAUUAGCUAGUUGGCGGGGUAAAGGCCCACCAAGGCGACGAUCCGUAGCUGGUCUGAGAGGAUGAUCAGCCACACUGGAACUGAGACACGGUCCAGACUCCUACGGGAGGCAGCAGUGGGGAAUAUUGGACAAUGGGCGAAAGCCUGAUCCAGCCAUACCGCGUGGGUGAAGAAGGACUUCGGGUUGUAAAGCCCUUUUGUUGGGAAAGAAAAGCAGCAGGUUAAUACCCCGCUGUUAUGACGGUACCCAAAGAAUAAGCACCGGCUAACUUCGUG
rnacentral:rRNA from 1 species